AUUGAACGCUGGCGGCAUGCCUUACACAUGCAAGUCGAACGGCAGCACGGGGCAACCUGGUGGCGAGUGGCGAACGGGUGAGUAAUGCAUCGGAACGUACCUUUCAGUGGGGGAUAACGUAGCGAAAGUUACGCUAAUACCGCAUAUUCUGUGAGCAGGAAAGCAGGGGAUCGCAAGACCUUGCGCUGAUUGAGCGGCCGAGGUCAGAUUAGGUAGUUGGGGAGGUAAAGGCUCACCAAGGCGACGAGCUGUAGCGGGUCUGAGAGGAUGAUCCGCCACACUGGAACAGAGGCACGUUCCAGACUCCUACGGGAGGCAGCAGUGGGGAAUUUUGGACAAUGGGGGCAACCCUGAUCCAGCCAUGCCGCGUGAGUGAAGAAGGCCUUCGGGUUGUAAAGCUCUUUCGGCCGGGAAGAAAUCGCACGGGCUAAUACCCUGUGUGGAUGACGGUACCGGAAUAAGAAGCACCGGCUAACUACGUGCCAGCCGCCGCUGUAAUAC
rnacentral:rRNA from 1 species